ACCAAGGCGACGAUCAGUAGCGGGUCUGAGAGGAUGAUCCGCCACACUGGGACUGAGACACGGCCCAGGCUCCUACGGGAGGCAGCAGUGGGGAAUUUUGGACAAUGGGGGCAACCCUGAUCCAGCCAUUCCGCGUGAGUGAAGAAGGCCUUCGGGUUGUAAAGCUCUUUCGGCAGGAACGAAAUGGUUGCGGUUAAUAACCGCGACUUCUGACGGUACCUGAAGAAGAAGCACCGGCUAACUACGUGCCAGCAGCCGCGGUAAUACGUAGGGUGCGAGCGUUAAUCGGAAUUACUGGGCGUAAAGCGUGCGCAGGCGGUUUUGUAAGUCAGAUGUGAAAGCCCCGGGCUUAACCUGGGAAUGGCGUUUGAAACUACAAGGCUAGAGUGUGUCAGAGGGGGGUAGAAUUCCACGUGUAGCAGUGAAAUGCGUAGAGAUGUGGAGGAAUACCGAUGGCGAAGGCAGCCCCCUGGGAUAACACUGACGCUCAUGCACGAAAGCGUGGGGAGCAAACAGGAUUAGAUACCCUGGUAGUCCACGCCCUAAACGAUGUCAACUAGUUGUCGGGAGGGUAACCCUCUUGGUAACGCAGCUAA
rnacentral:rRNA from 1 species